GAACGCUGGCGGCGUGCUUAACACAUGCAAGUCGAACGGAAAGGCCCUGCUUUUGUGGGGUGCUCGAGUGGCGAACGGGUGAGUAACACGUGAGUAACCUGCCCUUGACUUUGGGAUAACUUCAGGAAACUGGGGCUAAUACCGGAUAGGAGCUCCUGCUGCAUGGUGGGGGUUGGAAAGUUUCGGCGGUUGGGGAUGGACUCGCGGCUUAUCAGCUUGUUGGUGGGGUAGUGGCUUACCAAGGCUUUGACGGGUGGCCGGCCUGAGAGGGUGACCGGCCACAUUGGGACUGAGAUACGGCCCAGACUCCUACGGGAGGCAGCAGUGGGGAAUAUUGCACAAUGGGCGGAAGCCUGAUGCAGCAACGCCGCGUGCGGGAUGACGGCCUUCGGGUUGUAAACCGCUUUCGCCUGUGACGAAGCGUGAGUGACGGUAAUGGGUAAAGAAGCACCGGCUAACUACGUG
rnacentral:rRNA from 1 species